GUCCAGACUCCUACGGGAGGCAGCAGUGGGGAAUAUUGCGCAAUGGGCGAAAGCCUGACGCAGCGACGCCGCGUGAGGGAUGAAGGUCUUCGGAUCGUAAACCUCUGUCAGCAGGGAAGAACGGUCACUGUGCUAAUCAGCAGUGAAUUGACGGUACCUGCAAAGGAAGCCCCGGCUAACUACGUGCCAGCAGCCGCGGUAAUACGUAGGGGGCAAGCGUUAUCCGGAUUUACUGGGUGUAAAGGGAGCGUAGACGGUUGUGCAAGUCAGAAGUGAAGGCCCGGGGCUCAACUCCGGGACUGCUUUUGAAACUGUGAAACUGGAGUGCAGGAGAGGUAAGCGGAAUUCCUGGUGUAGCGGUGAAAUGCGUAGAUAUCAGGAGGAACACCAGUGGCGAAGGCGGCUUACUGGACUGUAACUGACGUUGAGGCUCGAAAGCGUGGGGAGCAAACAGGAUUAGAUACCCCCGUA
rnacentral:rRNA from 1 species